rnacentral:tRNA from 1 species
CCCCCCGUAAGGGUGGGGGUCCCUCACUCCUUUGGUCGGACUCCUUCGGGGUCCGCCCCGCGGGGGCGGG